rnacentral:rRNA from 1 species
AGUGAACGCUGGCGGUAGGCCUAACACAUGCAAGUCGAACGGCAGCACAGUAAGAGCUUGCUCUUACGGGUGGCGAGUGGCGGACGGGUGAGGAAUACAUCGGAAUCUACUUUUUCGUGGGGGAUAACGUAGGGAAACUUACGCUAAUACCGCAUACGACCUACGGGUGGAAGCAGGGGAUCUUCGUACCUUGCGCGAUUGAAUGAGCCGAUGUCGGAUUAGCUAGUUGGCGGGGUAAAGGCCCACCAAGGCGACGAUCCGUAGCUGGUCUGAGAGGAUGAUCGGCCACACUGGAACUGAGACACGGUCCAGACUCCUACGGGAGGCAGCAGUGGGGAAUAUUGGACAAUGGGCGCAAGCCUGAUCCAGCCAUACCGCGUGGGUGAAGAAGGCCUUCGGGUUGUAAAGCCCUUUUGUUGGGAAAGAAAAGCAGCAGGUUAAUACCCCGCUGUUCUGACGGUACCCAAAGAAUAAGCACCGGCUAACUUCGUG